rnacentral:piRNA from 1 species
GAGGCUUCUUCAUUCUCUCUGGAC